GCAGACGGCGACCUCGGCUCCACCGCCUCCAGCGAGCUUCCCAGCGGCCAACCCAGCCCGGAUGACUCCCUGACUAUGGUGGAAGGGGACGACGAUGAGGAGAGAAUACAAAAGGACCGCUGCGUUGAAAUCUAUCCGGAGACCAUGAGGCAGCGCAAGCCAAGCAAACGGCCCAAGGAGACGGUUCAAGCCAAGGACGGCGGAACAGGGCCGCCGGCAAGGCAAGCAGAGAGCCGUGCGCCGGUCAGGAGCGUUCUUCCGUCAGUCAAGGCGCUGAAAACCCAG